GUACCGUGAGGGAAAGGCGAAAAGAACCCCGGCGAGGGGAGUGAAAAAGAACCUGAAACCGUGUACGUACAAGCAGUGGGAGCCUCUUAAUGGGGUGACUGCGUACCUUUUGUAUAAUGGGUCAGCGACUUAUAUUCUGUAGCAAGGUUAACCGAAUAGGGGAGCCGAAGGGAAACCGAGUCUUAACUGGGCGUUAAGUUGCAGGGUAUAGACCCGAAACCCGGUGAUCUAGCCAUGGGCAGGUUGAAGGUUGGGUAACACUAACUGGAGGACCGAACCGACUAAUGUUGAAAAAUUAGCGGAUGACUUGUGGCUGGGGGUGAAAGGCCAAUCAAACCGGGAGAUAGCUGGUUCUCCCCGAAAGCUAUUUAGGUAGCGCCUCGUGAAUUCAUCUCCGGGGGUAGAGCACUGUUUCGGCAAGGGGGUCAUCCCGACUUACCAACCCGAUGCAAACUGCGAAUACCGGAGAAUGUUAUCACGGGAGACACACGGCGGGUGCUAACGUCCGUCGUGAAGAGGGAAACAACCCAGACCGCCAGCUAAGGUCCCAAAGUCAUGGUUAAGUGGGAAACGAUGUGGGAAGGCCCAGACAGCCAGGAUGUUGGCUUAGAAGCAGCCAUCAUUUAAAGAAAGCGUAAUAGCUCACUGGUCGAGUCGGCCUGCGCGGAAGAUGUAACGGGGCUAAACCAUGCACCGAAGCUGCGGCAGCGACACUAUGUGUUGUUGGGUAGGGGAGCGUUCUGUAAGCCUGUGAAGGUGGCCUGUGAGGGUUGCUGGAGGUAUCAGAAGUGCGAAUGCUGACAUAAGUAACGAUAAAGCGGGUGAAAAGCCCGCUCGCCGGAAGACCAAGGGUUCCUGUCCAACGUUAAUCGGGGCAGGGUGAGUCGACCCCUAAGGCGAGGCCGAAAGGCGUAGUCGAUGGGAAACAGGUUAAUAUUCCUGUACUUGGUGUUACUGCGAAGGGGGGACGGAGAAGGCUAUGUUGGCCGGGCGACGGUUGUCCCGGUUUAAGCGUGUAGGCUGGUUUUCCAGGCAAAUCCGGAAAACCAAGGCUGAGGCGUGAUGA
rnacentral:rRNA from 1 species